rnacentral:rRNA from 1 species
UCCUGGCGACCAUAGCGGUUUGGAACCACCUGACUCCAUCUCGAACUCAGAAGUGAAACAGACCAGCGCCGAUGAUAGUGUGAGGCUUCCUC